UCCAACUAAUUCUUCUCGUCUUUUUCUCCGCGCCGUAUGCUUUUUGCAGAUUGAACUUCUCUUCGAUGCCUUUCUUUCCAAGGGAUCUGUCUUCAGAUCGGCUCGCGGAUCGGGCCAGAUUGAUCUAUGCUUUAAAGGCCUUUACUGGCAUGGAAGCAAUUAUUAACUUGAAGAUCCCCAGCCCGUCUGGCUUUCGAAGAUCAUCAACGGCUGAGAUUUGGACGAUCGUAUUGAUUUCAGAUGUACGGUGUUAAUAGACGAGGCAUCUGGUCCAUGUGGGAUUGAUUGGUUUGUUCUUGAAAGGAUGUGUAAGAUGUCAGGUCAAAAGGUCCUACUGAUAAUAUUUAUUUGUUAGGGGGCUGAGUCCUGAUCUAUCUUUGUCGUCCAAGACCUUUGCCAUGACAGGUGCGCUUGCAUGGCAGGUCACCCAACAUAAUAAAAAUUUAUCUUUUUCGGUGUUUUUAGAGGGGAGUUCGCACGGGGUUGCCCGGGUUCUCCCCUCUGCUGCGGUGUCGUAUCGUGUCUCCUGCUCCUUUUAUUCUCUUUUUCUCUUUCCCUUGCUCCUUUCUAUCUUUUUGCAUCAUACGGGAUGGAUGCUUGACUCAACAUCAUCACCAACUUCGGAAUAUGCUCAUGAACUCCAAGCCAUACUACUAGCGUAUCUCAAGGCCAAGGUAUUAUCUUACACAUUUUAACCCAACUUCGACUUAUCUAAUUUUACUUUAAAAUAUUAUUUCAUU